AAGGUGCAUCAGGGCUUGUGCUUCGGUAAAUGAUGAUCUAUAUGCACUAAGUUACUAUUUCAGUCUUUAGGUCUGCCAAGCCAGGGACGUCCUGGGAAUAUGUUCUCACUAAAUAAUGGGCUCCUUCCUGCCCAGAGCGGUGCUGCUCACCUGGCUUCUCUCGAGGCUCUGAAAGCUCCUGCCGCUCCUGCUGGGCGAGGAGCUCCUCCACCUUCUUCUCCUCGGUGCCCUUGGGCCAGUCACCUCAGCUGAACCUCGCCGUGGGGCAGCAGAGCCUGGUGGCAGUCGGGGCAGCCGGUCCUGCCAGCUGGGGAUGCCCACGUCCCCGCGCCUGGAGCACCGUCCUGCAACAGCAGCACCUGGAUGGGGCAUGGGGCCAAGCAGCUUCGAAGUGUGGGAGCUUCGAGGGACCCCAUCCUGCCUGGCGGCUGGGUGCAAGAGACCGUGAAGUUAUUGCAUCUUUACCAAAAGCUUGCAACUCCUGCAUGCUGGCAGGCAGAGGAGGACUCACUCCAGAACCAGCAGUAUGGCACUCACCCUGGGAUUUGCCAUGGUGAGGACUGCUCAAAGCCUCACAGCUACCUGAUACAUCCCAUAAUAUCUCACCCCUUUACUGGGAAGCGAUGGCUCUCUUCCAGGGAUUAGGUCAUUUGUGUCCAUUGCGACACUUGGUCUACCGAGGGGAUCAGAGCGCAGCAGGCACUUGGAGCACCAGGGCAUCAGCCGUUCCUCUUCCCCUUGCUGCUUUUCAGCUCCUGCCUGGCAGCAAUUCCUUCAGUGUCUUCCCAUGGAAUUGCUAUUUGCCUUUCCCAUCCUUUUCAGCAACUCUCUCGAUGUAGGUAAAAUUAAUCAGGGAUAAGGAUCAAAUGCUUCGUCACUUAAAUCGCAAAG
rnacentral:lncRNA from 1 species